GCCGUGCGGGGUGCUAUACAUGCAAGUCGAGCGAAUGGAUUAAGAGCUUGCUCUUAUGAAGUUAGCGGCGGACGGGUGAGUAACACGUGGGUAACCUGCCCAUAAGACUGGGAUAACUCCGGGAAACCGGGGCUAAUACCGGAUAACAUUUUGAACUGCAUGGUUCGAAAUUGAAAGGCGGCUUCGGCUGUCACUUAUGGAUGGACCCGCGUCGCAUUAGCUAGUUGGUGAGGUAACGGCUCACCAAGGCAACGAUGCGUAGCCGACCUGAGAGGGUGAUCGGCCACACUGGGACUGAGACACGGCCCAGACUCCUACGGGAGGCAGCAGUAGGGAAUCUUCCGCAAUGGACGAAAGUCUGACGGAGCAACGCCGCGUGAGUGAUGAAGGCUUUCGGGUCGUAAAACUCUGUUGUUAGGGAAGAACAAGUGCUAGUUGAAUAAGCUGGCACCUUGACGGUACCUAACCAGAAAGCCACGGCUAACUACGUGCCAGCAGCCGCGGUAAUACGUAGGUGGCAAGCGUUAUCCGGAAUUAUUGGGCGUAAAGCGCGCGCAGGUGGUUUCUUAAGUCUGAUGUGAAAGCCCACGGCUCAACCGUGGAGGGUCAUUGGAAACUGGGAGACUUGAGUGCAGAAGAGGAAAGUGGAAUUCCAUGUGUAGCGGUGAAAUGCGUAGAGAUAUGGAGGAACACCAGUGGCGAAGGCGACUUUCUGGUCUGUAACUGACACUGAGGCGCGAAAGCGUGGGGGAGCAAACAGGAUUAGAUACCCUGGUAGUCCACGCCGUAAACGAUGAGUGCUAAGUGUUAGAGGGUUUCCGCCCUUUAGUGCUGAAGUUAACGCAUUAAGCACUCCGCCUGGGGAGUACGGGCCGCAAGGCUGAAACUCAAAGGAAUUGACGGGGGCCCGCCACAAGCGGUGGAGCAUGUGGUUUUAAUUCGAAGCAACGCGAAGAACCCUUAACCAGUCUUGGACAUCCUCUGAAACCCCUAGAGAUAGGCUUCUGCGUUCGGGAGCAGAGUGGACAGUGGUGCAUGGGAUGUCGUCAGCUCGUGUCCGUGAGAUGCUGGGAUAAGGUUCCCGCACGAGCGCCAACCCAUUGGAAUCCUAAGUGGCCAAUCAAUAAGCUGGUCACCUCUAAGGGGAACUGACGUGACCAGCCGAAGCAGAGGGAAUGAACG
rnacentral:rRNA from 1 species